GAUUCUCUAUAUACAUAUAUUGGCCAAUCAGUUUCUGCAUUUUGCCCAUAUUUUCUGCAAAAUAUUAAGCACAAUCUUGGCUCUUGUGAUGGUUUAAGUUCAUAGGUUUAUGCACAUUUAUAUUCUGUCCAAUUGUUUAGAAUUUUGGUUAUGGUCACAGAAGUUGCUUAUCCUAAUUGAUAUGAACCCAAUCAGAGCUUAACCUGGACCCAUUUCACAGACUAGAUCACAAACUCUAACCUGUCCUGCUCUCCUGCACUAAAGAUUCAAGUACAGCCUAUGUCAACUUUAAAUAAAAUUCUGGACCUGCUUGAUCUUUGUGCUUGUCAUACCUUACCCCUCUGUAACGCAUAACAUGAUCCCGUAGAAUA
rnacentral:misc_RNA from 1 species